UGUGACAUACUUUACACUUCUGACCCACUUUUUUUAGAACUAUUCUGAUCUGAAAUAUUUUAUCUUACCAUAAGCCACUUUUAAUGGACCGACAUCACAGCUCUGUCAACCACUAGGCUGCAUGAACUUAGGUGACAUUGGAGACAAGACUUGAAGAGGGUCUGAGAGGCAGCCAAGUGGGAAUCUGGAGGACCCGCAUUGCAGGCAGAAGGACCAGCAUAGGCAAAGACCCUCAGCAGGAGCACAGUGCCGACUGAAGAACAAGGAGACCAGGACUGGGCCAUGGAAUGUAAAGGGAAGUGGCUGAGCUGCAGCUGCAAAUGAUUACUAAGCAUUUUCCAUGGCCUUAUGAACUGCCAUGAAUUCAGAGCAUCCUCUCGGAAGCCAGAUGGCACCCCUCAGAAGUGUGUGCCUCACCAUCAACCAACCCCGUGGAUGCCCCUCCUUGGUGGGGUUUAUGGAUUAGACUUUUAUUGAGCUUCUAUCUUCUGAUGCCCCCAAAUAGAGAGCCUCUGGCUCUUUUACUUCUUGACCUCUCUUCUUGCCAUGCCUUCAUUCUAUCUUCCAGAAUAUAUAAACUUUCUUCGGACUAGUCUGAACACAUCACAAUUCAUAAAUGUAGAAACCGCCUGCUAGAACCACAGCUGGGUUCAGCACAUGCACGAGAAAAUCUUCCUUUACUUCUGUCCAGCCCAAGCGAGCUAAUCAGGAAAGGCUGCCUGGGAGAAUGUUCCUGUGACUGCACUGGGGAUUCCCAGCUCUUCUAGCUGACCAGCAGAGAAACCUCUCUGAAGAAACUUAACUCCUUCGACUAGCAUGUGAGAAAUCUCCAACACAAAAGGCAACUGCAAUGGGCCGAGUACACCAUGGUGGCCGUAGCCAAGGUUAACUUGUGUUCAUAGAGCAAGUCCUCCGGGGGACAGAUGGGAGUGAGAGGACUCUGAGGCCUGCAAGAAACAUCAGGGGCUUAACUGCAGAGAUUAGACAGGAACAGGGGAGGGAAUGGGGAUAUUCCAGGCCUAUUUGUAACUGUCACACCAGGCUCUUGAUGACACAGUGGCCCCAAGUCAUAUCAGAGAAGGUCAGCAAUGAUGGACUCACCUAGUCUUUUGUUAACAAUUUACCUUUUUGUCAUCACCACAGUGAAAGAAUAACUCUGCACAGUAAUUAUUCAACCAGACCAGGCCAGGGUUUGGAUGAGCGGAACACUGGCAGAGGCAUUUGAAAAGACACUGGGACCUCUCUUCUGUGUUUUAGGGAGUCAAUAAUUGGAUAAAAUAUAAACAUUUUUUCUCACUUCCAUAUAUGCAAGUGUCCCUAUGUGUAAGAAAUAGGGUCCUUGGAAGAAAGGGGCUGACUCUGUGUGGGUUUGUUUAUCUGGCAGGGAGUAGUACUAGUGCCCCCUCCAAAGUUGCUCCAGAAGUAGUGGGAGAAGAAAGGAGAAAAAGACCUCCCUCACAGGCCUCCCCUCCCCCACCUCUCUGCCCCAGCACCUCACCCACUUGGCAGAGAUGCUCUUAUCCAACUUCAGGAACAGGCUGGGGAAAGGGCAUAGAGACAGUAAGGCUCUGGGAAUCUUGUCACCUCAACACUGGUGAUUUCAGAUCUCAGGGUCCACUCCACGUCAAGGACAAUGAUCUUUGUGCAUUUCCUUCUCUCCAUGAGUCUGAAGCAACAUAUAAUUUUCUGAUGGCCUGUCCUCAAAUAUGAAAAAUAUGCAUAAGAAUGCAAUAUAUUAUUAAGCUUGGGCAAAGGAGUAUUGGAUGGCGAAGUGGCCAAGCUGACCUUUGGGUGCAACUGAGAAAGUAGAAUGAGAAAGUGUUUAAACCUAAUGUAAUGAAAACCACAGUAAUUAUAAGUCUAGAUUUAGGAUUAAAAGUUAUAACUUUGGAAUAAAUUAUUAGGAAAUAUAAACAUUUAAAAUUACAGACAUCUGAAGCAAAGUUUUGGUUGGUCUUUGUUCUUCUUUCUUCCCCCUCCAUAUUUUACUAAAGAGGCUUGUGUCACGUGCGGUGUGACUUUCCAGUGGACCACACAUCCGGACGACUGCCUUCAUAUGCCGGUGACCAGCAGUCUGCUCAAGCAGAUGCGUUUAUCCUCACGUCAUGAUUUUUGGUGAUGCAUGACCUCUGGGUAUUUUUUGAGUAAUUCACAUCUUUAAAUUUAAUAGGCAAUCCAUGUAAGGAUAAAAUAAACCAGCUGCCUUAUGGUUGUAGAUGUUGUAAAGAUUGGCAGAAAAUGAACAAAAAAAUAAUUGGAGAAAUACAAGAAGUCCCACAACUAUUGAAAUUUACAGGGAACCUGCCAGAAACUGGGAGUAUUUAAGCUGAUGCAGGGAAGGCUGAGGAUGUUGUAUUAUUAUUGAAAGAAACUGAAGUCAUGUAUACAUCUGUCUUAUUCAUUUCUACCUUCUGUAGAGAUAGAUCACAUUAAACAGAAACUCAGAAGAAUUAGAUAAACAGUGCAACAUAAUCAAUUGCUGAUGAAAAACAGAAGAAAAAAAAUGCUAACCCAGGGUUGUCCAUAUGUAUUCAGAUGGGUGAGUCAUG